GACGAACGCUGGCGGCGUGCCUAACACAUGCAAGUCGAACGGAGCAGAGACUUCGGUUUUUGCUUAGUGGCGAACGGGUGAGUAACGCGUGAGAAACCUGCCUUUCAGUGGGGGACAACAGUUGGAAACGACUGCUAAUACCGCAUAAUGUAUUUUAGGGGCAUCCCUUUGAUACCAAAGCUUUAUGUGCUGAAAGAUGGUCUCGCGUCUGAUUAGCUAGUUGGUGAGGUAACGGCUCACCAAAGGCGACGAUCAGUAGCCGGUCUGAGAGAAUGAACGGCCACAUUGGGACUGAGAUACGGCCCAG
rnacentral:rRNA from 1 species